UACGAAGGGGACUAGCGUUGCUCGGAAUCACUGGGCGUAAAGGGUGCGUAGGCGGGUCUUUAAGUCAGGGGUGAAAUCCUGGAGCUCAACUCCAGAACUGCCUUUGAUACUGAGGAUCUUGAGUUCGGGAGAGGUGAGUGGAACUGCGAGUGUAGAGGUGAAAUUCGUAGAUAUUGGGAAGAACACCAGUGGCGAAGGCGGCUCACUGGCCCGAUACUGACGCUGAGGCACGAAAGCGUGGGGAGCAAACAGG
rnacentral:rRNA from 1 species